rnacentral:rRNA from 1 species
AAACAACUGCUUAACGGUUGUAUGCAUUGGAAACUUCUAGUCUAGAGUGUGGUAGAGAGUUCUGGAACUCCAUGUGGAGCGGUGGAAUGCGUAGAUAUAUGGAAGAACACCAGUUGCGAAGGCGAGAACUUAGGCCAUAACUGACGCUUAGGCUUGAAAGUGUGGGGAGCAAAUAGGAUUAGAUACCCUAGUAGUCCACACCGUAAACGAUGGAUGUUAGAUGUCGGGGUAAACGCCUCGGUGUCGUAGCU